rnacentral:rRNA from 1 species
UGGGGGAAUAUUGGGGCAAUGGGCGCAAGCCUGACCCAGCAACGCCGCGUGAGGGAAGAAGGUUUUCGGAUUGUAAACCUCUGUCGCAGGGGACGAAGGAAGUGACGGUACCCUGUAAGAAAGCCCCGGCUAACUACGUGCCAGCAGCCGCGGUAAUACGUAGGGGGCGAGCGUUGUCCGGAAUUACUGGGCGUAAAGGGAGCGUAGGCGGUCCUGCAAGUCUGAUGUGAAAGCCCGGGGCUCAACCCCGGGACUGCAUUGGAAACUGUGGGACUUGAGUGUCGGAGGGGCAAGUGGAAUUCCUAGUGUAGCGGUGAAAUGCGUAGAUAUUAGGAGGAACACCAGUGGCGAAGGCGGCUUGCUGGACGACAACUGACGCUGAGGCUCGAAAGCGUGGGGAGCAAACAGGAUUAGAUACCCUGGUAGU